rnacentral:tRNA from 1 species
UGCUGCCCUGGACGGACAGGGUCACGGUCCUGGUCUGCCAGGCGGGGUCGGCGGGGAGCUUCAGCACGACCUGGUCGAUGCUGGUGGCGGCGCCCA